rnacentral:rRNA from 1 species
AUGACAGUGAGACUGCUUGUAUGGAAUGUCAGGGGGCUGAAUAACCCAGCCAGGCGCAAUUCUAUCCGCUUAUUUAUGCAGUCUUGUGAUGUGUCCAUGAUCUGCUUCCAAGAAUCUAAGCUUAAUGCCCUGGAUACUUUGGUGGUUAAUCAGACUCUUGGCCCAGAGUUUGAUGAGUUUGAGGCUUUGCCAGCGGACGGCACCAGAGGAGGAAUUCUG